GAGGGGAUAGCUCAGUGGUAGGGUGCAUGCCUAGCAGACAUGAGGUCCUGGGUUCAAUUCCCAGUACCUGCA
rnacentral:tRNA from 1 species